rnacentral:rRNA from 1 species
UUUUUGGAGAGUUUGAUUCUGGCUCAGAACGAACGUUGGCGGCGUGGAUAAGGCAUGCAAGUCGAACGAUCCCGAGCAAUCGGGAUAGUGGCAAAAGGGUGA